GCACGGGUGAGUAACGCGUGGGAAUCUGCCCUGUGGUACGGAAUAACAUCGGGAAACUGGUGCUAAUACCGUAUAUCCCCUGAGGGGGAAAGAUUUAUCGCCAUGGGAGGAGCCCGCGUAGGAUUAGCUAGUUGGUGAGGUAACGGCUCACCAAGGCGACGAUCCUUAGCUGGUCUGAGAGGAUGAUCAGCCACACUGGGACUGAAUACGGCCCAACUCCUACGGGAGGCAGAGUGGGGAAUAUUGGACAAUGGGGGAAACCCUGAUCCAGCCAUGCCGCGUGUGUGAUGAAGGCCUUCGGGUUGUAAAGCACUUUCGCACGUGACGAUGAUGACGGUAACGUGAGAAGAAGCCCCGGCUAACUUCGUGCCAGCAGCCGCGGUAAUACGAAGGGGGCAAGCGUUGUUCGGAAUUACUGGGCGUAAAGGGC
rnacentral:rRNA from 1 species